UACGUAGGGGGCAAGCGUUGUCCGGAAUCAUUGGGCGUAAAGAGCUCGUAGGCGGUUCGGCAAGUCAGCUGUGAAAUCUCCACGCUCAACGUGGAGGGGUCAGCUGAUACUGCUGUGACUUGAGUCCGGUAGGGGAGUGUGGAAUUCCCGGUGUAGCGGUGAAAUGCGCAGAUAUCAGGAGGAACACCGGUGGCGAAGGCGGUUCUCUGGGCCGAAACUGACGCUGGAGGAGCGAAAGCGUGGGGAGCAAACAGG
rnacentral:rRNA from 1 species